UCACACUGCUAUUCACCCCAGUUCAGAAGGGCAGAGCAAUGGCCAAAAUGUAAGACUGGGGUUGGGACUGUGAGAAGAAAGGAACAAUUGCCAGUUAGCAAAUUAUUAUAAUGGCCACGUGGGCUCCAGGGCUGACAUAAUGAGGAGCUUGGUAUGUGUGGUAAUUACACACACUUGAGUUGAGUCUUAGGAAAACAUAUAAAAGAAACGUUAUUUUCUUUUUUUCUAAAGGCUAUGAAGGUAAGAAGCAUUCCAUAAACAAUUAUUACGCAGCACUAUUUCAAGGGUUGGGCUCUGUCAAUGAGUUUUAACCACUAAAGAAAAGGAAUUCUAAUUGGGGGCGAAAUAAUAGGCUACAUUUGUAUAGCACUGCAUAGAGUACCAAGU
rnacentral:lncRNA from 1 species